rnacentral:rRNA from 1 species
GACGAACGCUGGCGGCGUGCCUAAUACAUGCAAGUCGAACGCAUUUUCUUUCACCGUAGCUUGCUACACCGAAAGAAAAUGAGUGGCGAACGGGUGAGUAACACGUGGGUAACCUGCCCAUCAGCGGGGGAUAACACUUGGAAACAGGUGCUAAUACCGCAUAAUUCCAUUUACUGCAUGGUAGAUGGAUGAAAGGCGCUUUUGCGUCACUGAUGGAUGGACCCGCGGUGCAUUAGCUAGUUGGUGGGGUAACGGCCUACCAAGGCUGCGAUGCAUAGCCGACCUGGGAGGGUGAUCGGCCACACUGGGACUGGGACACGGCCCAGACUCCUACGGGAGGCAGCAGCAGGGAAUCUUCGGCAAUGGACGCAAGUCUGACCGAGCAACGCCGCGGGAGUGAAGAAGGUUUUCGGAUCGUAAAACUCUGUUGUUAGAAAAGAACAAGGAUGAGAGUGGAAAGUUCAUCCCUUGACGGUAUCUAACCAGAAAGCCACGGCUAACUACGUG